rnacentral:rRNA from 1 species
AUUGAACGCUGGCGGCAUGCUUUACACAUGCAAGUCGAACGGCAGCGCGGGGCAACCUGGCGGCGAGUGGCGAACGGGUGAGUAAUACAUCGGAACGUACCCAGAAGUGGGGGAUAACGUAGCGAAAGUUACGCUAAUACCGCAUACGUUCUACGGAAGAAAGUGGGGGACCUUCGGGCCUCAUGCUCUUGGAGCGGCCGAUGUCUGAUUGGCUAGUUGGUGAGGUAAAGGCUCACCAAGGCGACGAUCAGUAGCUGGUCUGAGAGGACGACCGUCCACGCUGGGACUGAGACACGGCCCAGACUCCUACGGGAGGCAGCAGCGGGGAAUUUUGGACAAUGGGCGCAAGCCUGAUCCAGCAAUGCCGCGUGAGUGAAGAAGGCCUUCGGGUUGUAAAGCUCUUUUGUCAGGGAAGAAACGGCUGGGGCUAAUAUCCUCGGCUAAUGACGGUACCUGAAGAAUAAGCACCGGCUAACUACGUGCCAGCCGCCGCGGUAACAC